CAGGAGGGGGCUCUGAGCUGGCCCUGAGGGGUUCAGAGUGCAGGAGGGGGCUUGGGGUUGGGGUGCAGGCUCUGGGAAGGGAAUUGGGGUGUGGGAGGGGGUUGGGGUGCAGGGUGGCGCUUACUUCCAGCACUCCAAGUCGGCAGGCUCUUUGGUUCCAUGCAGCUCCUGGAAGCAGUGGCAUGUCCCUGCAGCUCCUAGGCAGAGGGGUCAGGGGCCUCUGCGCACUGCUCAUGCCUGCAGGCACUGACUCCGCAGUUCCCAUUGGCCAGGACUGUGGCCAAGUCGGCACUCUGGCAGUGCGUGGAGCCUCCUUGGCUGCCCCUGCACCUAAGAGCCGGAUAUGUUGGCCGCUUCUGGGAGCCAUGCAGAGAGCCUUCCUUAGCCCUGCUGUGCUGCAGACCGGACUUUUGACAGCCUGGUCAGCUGUGCUGACUGGAGCUGCCAAAGUCCCUUUUUGACUAGGUGUUCCAGUCGAAAACCUGACACCUAGCAACCCUAUGGCAGUCAUCCCACCCACUGGACCUGGCCUCUGACUUCAGGAGACAGUAACAUGUAUCUCAUCAGCAGGGAUUCUAGUUUUCUGUGAUUUAAAAGAUAAAUAAAAUCCAUGUUUUUCCACAAUUAAAAUGAGAUGCUGAACUUUAGUUUCCCUAGCCGUAAUAUAGGUAUCAGUUGAACAAUGUAUUAUUGAUAUAUUUACAAUUUUUAAGCAAGUUUGAAGCCUACCUGUACCAAUCAUUAUAAUAAAAUUAAUAGAAUGGUCCCGUCACAGUGCAUUGUUUCUUUAGUGUUGUGGAUGGCCCUGCUGUUUCAGCCUCUUGUUUUUAGCUUCUUUUUUAUUCAGUUUGGUGCUUUCCAUGUGUUCUGCCAUUGUCUGCCUUCGAACGUAAUCUGCACCCUUGCUGCAUACAGUACAGAACAGCACAUUGCUAUCAACGUGAAAUUUGUCCUUUCCAAACUCAGUGACGGGGUCAUUAGGGGUGAUUUUUAAAGUUUUCAGCAUCUUUUCAUAACUUUAAUUACUUGUGGAGGCUGAAAUGAGAUGCACUGAAACACAAACCUCUAUAUGCUGUUGAGUAACCUCUAUGCACCAGAAGCAGUUUACUGGAGUAUGUAAAUUUAAAGCGCAUUCAAAAAUCAACCACAAGUGAGGGAGGUUGCAAGCAGUAAAAUGUAGUUAAUGUUUUUAUUUUUUCACAAAAUGUAAAAACUAAAGAUUCUCUGUAAAAAUACAAAUUCUGCAUUUUUUUCCAUGGCAAACUGAUUUCUAGGAUUCCUGGGGUACAACCUGGAACUAGAGUACCACUGUGUCCCCUUAACUCUCCAGCCUGGGCUGUCUCUCCCAACACUUUGCUAGUGACAAGCAGCAAACCCCUCUAGGCACUGUUGUCACUCAGUAUAACAGCAUGUGGAGCCCUACACCCAGCUAGAUUGCAUGAAUUCUACCUGAGCCACUCACAAAUCAGACAGAGAAAGGCACCAGCAAAUAUCCCAACCCCCCAGCAUUAUACCCAGAACUGUACCGUCUUGUCCUAGUCAGAAGCCUGACCCAUGUAAGUUUAUUAUCCAGUCUACCACUCCUUUGAUGUGGAGAGGAGACACACUAGCCUUUGUAAACUGAGCUGCAGUUUCCCAAGCACUUCAACCAAAACACACUGUUUUAGGUAAAAUAUAAAACAGAUUUAUUAACUUUAGAAAGGUAGAUUUUUAGUGAUUAUAAGUGGUAGGCACAAAAAGUUAGAGAUAGUUACCAAAGAAAAAUGAUAAGUACAUAGUCUAAACCUUAAACUUUAUUAGACUAGGCAGUAUUUGGAUCAAGCUGUUUUCUCACCCCACUAGAUGUUACAGUUCUUAAUAUAUAGGCUUCCCCUUUAAGCCUGGGACCAGUCUCCUCAGUUCAAGACUUUGUUUUCCCACCAUUCUUGUUGCUUCUGGUGUAGGUGCAGGAGGAAAAAAGUCAAAGAAUGAUGCCACUAUCCCCUAUUUUAGAUCAGUAGCAACCAUACAGCAAAAUCUCAUAACUUCAUAUACAUGAUACACAUAUUUUGACAGACCAACAGGUUUCAGCAGACUAUGAUCUUUCAUAUGGUAUCUUAUGUGGCAUGCUUUGUAUGAAAUAUAUCAUCGUAUGAUGGGUGAAUAUGGGAGUUCUAGGGUGCUGCUUUGAGGUACAGAGUGCCACACCCUGCUCAUCAGGAUCUUCUGCUGAGCCUACCUAUGUGGCCUCAUACUUUGGGCCCUACCAAAUUCAUGGACCAUUUUGGUCAAUUUUGCCAUCAUAGGAUUUUAAAAAUCAUAAAUUUCAUGGUUUCGGAUAUUUAAAUCUGAAAUUUCAUGGUGUUGUAACUGUAGGGGUCCUGACCCAACUCUGAAGGCGGGAGUGCAGAAGUAAGGGUGGCUUGCUAUGGUAUUGCCACCUUUACUUCUGUGCUGCUGCUGGCAGGCCGCUGCCUUCGGAGCUGGGUGUCUGGCCAACAAUGCAGUUCUCUGUCCACCCUGCUCUGAAGGCAGUGCCAAAAUAAGGGUGGCACUACUCCAACCCUUGUAAAAUAACCUUGCAACUCCCCUUCCCCAUGAUCCUCUUUUGGGUCAGGACACCCAGUUUGAGAAAUGCUGUCUCCCCAUGAAAUCUCUAUAGUAUAGUGUAAAAGUACGUACACACAAGACCAGAUUUCACAGUCCGUGACGCAUUUUUCAUGACCAUGAAUUUGGUAGGGCCCUACUCAUACUCCUGUUUUAUAACUUUUCUCUCUACCUGAGCUCUAAUUGGCUUAGGUCUCAAAUUGUGAAUAUUUGACAACACUCACCAUGCAAACUUACUUUCCAGCUCAUGGGAAUACACUGAUAUGCCCAGUAUCUGCCCACCCUUACUUCUGAGUGGUUCUGGACACUUAAAGUAAAUGGCCUCGCUCUGUCUCCUUGCUUGUGUUCAUAGACAGAUACAAACAUAAAUCCAUUAACUUCUCAACUGCCUCCCUCCCUCUCUCUCUCUCUCUAAACAAGUAAAAUAGUGCAGUGCAACAGGCACGUGGGUUACAUGAACAGAAGUCUUGGACUGUUAGUUCUUUCGUUUUUCUUGGGGUAGGAGAGGGCGGGUGAGUUAUGUAACACGGCAGAAGGAACAGUGUACGCAACCAGAAAGGAGCAACAAUGGUGUCAAAGUAGGAUACUGUGAAGAAGAGACAAUGUUCUUCAGAGUGCAACUUCUAGUGUUGACUUCAACACCUGGGAACUGGAAAAUAAUCGGCCAUGGCUGCAGGUCAUAAAACCGUGUUUGGGAAUAUUUUCAAGAAACUCCUGUACCCCUGGGUACAAAAGGAAUGUGCCAAAUACAGUAAUGCAACAAAGAGAUGCAAGGCCUGGCUGUAAGAAUGAAACAGUAUUAUGAAAAAUGCUCCUCAGAAGGUAAUGGCUUUGAAGAUGAUGAUGUGGACACAUCUGAACAAUCUGGAUCAAUUGGAUCCAGUUUAGGUAUAAGGGGUUAUGAAUAUCCACCUGCAAUGUCUACAACUUCAGAGUCACCUGCUGAUACCACCAGGAGUGCUGCAACUAAACAUGUCAGACAGUAAAUUAACUGUGUUAAGAAAUGCAUGGAUGAGUUCAUAAGCAGGACCAGCAAAUUCCAGCAAGAUAAAACGACUCCACAGAUUAAAGAUUGCUUGGUUCAUUUAUGCAACAAAUUCUUCAUUUCAGCUUGUUCCAAGCAAACACUUCAUUGGACGUAGUUCAGUAAUUACGACCAGGCUGCACUGCAUCCGGCCGAGCAGACAUUGUUGAAAGGUUGUUGAAUACAGUAUAAGAAAAGGAAAUCUGAAGAGUGUGCAAAAAAACAUUGACCGGGAAACUUGGUAAUGUGUGUCUUGAUGGGUGGAGCACUGUAUACAAUGAUCCAGUAAUUUGUUCUUGUGUGACACACAACAACCCCAUCUUAUGUUAUUUUACAGAAAUUGACACAUCAGGAAAUGCCUUUUCAGCAGAAUACUUAAAGUAGAAGUAAAAGCUGUAACAAACAGAACAAAAAUUAAACAAUUGAGCACAUAGCUUUGGUGCAGACAAUGCUGCAAAUGUAGCAAAGAUGAGAAGUCUAGAAGAAGAUAAUAAAGGGAACCUCAAACUUAUAUGGGUGUGCAGUGCUCCUUGAUUGCGUCUUUUAGCAAAGACUUAAGUACAACUUUUGAAAUAAAGGAAAACAUUUUUGACAUUGCGGAAUACUUCAUAACAACCACUGUGCUUCAGCUUCACUGAACAAAGCAUGAGGAUCCAAACUAAUUCUCCCCCAAAAUGUGUGAUGGAAUUCAGUGGUUGACUGUUUUGAGCUAUUAAUUAAAAAUUGGCCUCUUCUGAUGACAAUUUUGUGAAGAAAAUCAUAACACAAUAGAUGGAACUCUCACAGCCAGUGUAGUUAACAUUUGGACUAAAGAGAACUGUAGAAGAUAUACUGAAUAUGGAAAUAGGUUUCAGUAUAGCCUUGAGCAAACUGCAGAAAGAUUGCCGCUGUAUUGCUGAUGCUGUUGAAAUUUGGAAAGAACCUCAAGAGACAUUGAAGAAAGAAAUACCCAGCAACAAAGUUAAAUUUUCAGCAGUAAAGAAGUGGAUGGAUCAAGCACCUACUCCACCUCUUUCUUGCCAGUAUUUUCAAUUCAGAGUUCCAGGACAGAUGCCCAACUGCUGAAGAAGAUGCUGCUAUGACUUGGGCAUCCAGUAAUCACCCCUCAAUCAUGCCAACCAUAAUAAAUUUCAGGGCUGGAAGUGAACCAUUCAAGCAGUACAUGCUGGCUGAUCUUUAAGAGUCCCACCUCUGAAUUGGUAGAAGUCACUAGCUCAGCACCAGGAACCAGAGUGUAUUGAAGUGCUAAACCAGCUUUUGACACUAGUAGCUUCUUCUGCAAUCAGGAAAUAAUAUUUUCUUCAUUUUGACUAAUUCAUUCAAAGUUGAGAAGUCAAUUGGAAGUUGAAAGAGUAUGAAAACUUGUCUUCCUCUUCCAGUCUAUGAAUAAAAAUGAGGAGGGAGGGGAUGAGAUCUAGCUUUAAAAGUUUGAAGGACAGAGUAAGUAAUUUAGGAGACUGUCUUAUUUUCAAAAGACUUAAGUGAGUAGAAACUUAAGCUCCAGUCACUUUCACUUGUGCAUAUUUGAAAAAUUUCACAGGCUGACUUGAAAUCAGUUUAAUUCACAGGCUACAGUUGAGCCCUCUGUUCCUUUAAUAAAUCAUUUGGUUGUAAAUAGGAAACAUCUUUUAAGUUCCUGUAUCCAAAACAUUUACCUUUUUUUGUUUUAAUGCAAAUAAAUUUUAUAUGCUGUUUUGUGUUUUAA